UACGUGCAGUAAUUUGACUAUAACUCUAGUUCUAUAAAUCCUUUUGAAGUCAAACCAACGGCAUUAGAAACCUAAGAUUCAUACCUACAACUUUCGUGUUUACACCUAAGACCAGUUCUGUACCAAUCAAUACCAGUUUUCAUUUCAAAUUCGGACAAAGUUGUGCUGAAAUUCAUAAAAAUUCACUAAGACCUACUUUGAGUAUUUUCAUCAUAACACCUAAACCGAAAAUCAUUUUCAAGUCAAACCGACGCCACUGGAAAGAUAACACAAUUAUCUACAACUUUCAUGUUUACACCAAAGGCUAAUUCAAAACA
rnacentral:lncRNA from 1 species